AGACAAUGAUAGGAGCUCAUAUAGACGUCUUAUGGUGAAUACGUGCACAAAAGGUGAACAUACAUGAUCAUAUCCUUGUAGAGUCAAUUACUUUAUAUAGAACGUCUUAUGGUGAAUAUGUGCACAAAAGGUGAACAUACAUGAUUGUAUCCUUUAGAGUCAAUUACUUUAUAUAGACCCUGAUGGCGAUAUAUUUUGAACAUUAGUACAUUUAUUUUACAUGUAUUUUGUGAAUGCUACAUACAUUGAGAUACAUGAUCAUUCCAGGGUUCACAUGUAUUUCUAAGUGGGGGUAAAAUGUAAUGGUGGAAUUUGCAUAACCAUGCUAUUUCCUAUUUAGUUUUGUGCCUAUAUUGAAGGGAGCGCUUUGAUACAUAGACUUAUUGUAAAAUGGCAUAAUCUUUUGCAAUUUCUAGUACCUUGCCAUAUGUUAUCCACCUACUUCAUUAUACCUUUCUAUAGACCCACCACUUAACCCCCUUUCACAUGUCCACACGCCUUUAUAGAUUUGCCUUCUCCACUUAUUUAUUACCUAUGUUCCAUAUAGUUUCUUGAUUGGGGUAUGGAUUUCUAGGAAUGAUUGCAUUGGACAUUAGCAAUGGUAGGUAGAGGUUUGGGGGUUGAGCCCCCAAUAGGGUUGAGAGGUAUUGCCCCUCAUGCAUUCCCUGUUACAUGGUGAGGUUGAGGGGCGGAGCUCACACUACCAAGCACAAAUUAAGGCCUUUGAAACAACGCAAACCUUCAUGGCAAAUAUCUUUUUCUCAAUUUUAUCGCUUUUGUUUUGCAAGACCAUGUCCUUACUAAUUCUGAAACUUAGAGGAGUGUUUGAAAUGAGGCUUAGAAGUUAGAUGCCUAUUUAUAAGUUUUUUUGAGUGCUUAGGGUUUGGGUGGAGUCCAUAGACCAUUAGGGUUAGGACUUGUGGCACUCAGUUAAAAACACUUUGAAUUUUAAAAAAAUGUUGAAUUUUUUAUUUUCUUGCCAUGGGGGACACUUGGAAGUCUGAAGGAUGGCUGGGAGGCUCCUCAAAAUCCCUUGGACGUCUCGGAGACCCCAAGCCAUCCUUGGGUCUUGAGUGGUGGUAGUGAGAUGGUAGGGGAAUAUGUCCCCCAAGUCCUUGAAUCUUGGAGACAUCCCUGCCCUGGAAACAUAGAGAUUUUGGGUGGGGGGCAGGAUGCGUCCUUGUCAAAUAUUGUUAAUUACUCGUACGGUUGAAUAUAUACCCAUGAACAUGCUGUCCAUAGUGAUUUGACAUCUUUUCUAUUCUAGGACUAGUUUAUGGUUGCAGUGUCAUCCUCACAGUUGUAUAUUCGUCCCUCCCUAAUUUAAAUUUUUAAAUUCAAAAUUGACAGAUUUCUCACUUUUACCAAUCUUGCCGAGGUGGACUAAAUGCUAGUUUGCAUGAUAUGUUGCUAAGUCCUUGUAUUUAAAGGCAUUCAAUGCAUUUGUUCUAAUCAUCUCUUAAUCAAGCAAUGAUUUGAAUAUCGUUUGCAUUUAUGGACUUUGAUUGGUGCAUCAAUAGGAAUCUAGUUCUGCACAAAUGUUUGAGGAGUAUUGCAUCACUGAAGAUUGUUGUAUUUGGUCAUUGUUUAAUUUUAGGAAUUGGUCUAAGGAAAAGCUCGUUGUGAUGUAAUGACAAUCCUUCAAGCUAUUUUAAAAUAUUGGUAGGUCCUUAGAUAUUCAGGAAAUGCACAGACGAAAUUGGGAGUGAUCAGGUGAAUCGGAGAAUAGAAGUUGAUGGAUCUCACUGGACAAGUUUGCAGGUGCAAGACAAGCCCACAGUUGUGGAUUCAUUACUGCAUAGUCACAACUGAAUAUUCUGUUUCUCAGGUGAUCCACAGUCUGUCAUCCUCUGUUUUAGAUCUCAGGGCGCAUCAGAUUCAGAUCCAUAUCAGUCCUAGAGACAUCCUUGAUUACCGAGCUAAGUACAUUUAUUUUUUAUUCACAUUACUGCAUUUAAUUAUCACAAGAUUAUUAAUCUCUGGCUGUCCGUUAUUUAUCUAGUCUGAUUUGUGUUUAUCUGUAUGCACUUGAGUGGAUUAGCCUAGGUUACUCAUAAGGAAGGUUUAUUUUCCUUUAAUCUCAUAUAUGGGUAUAAAUACAAUUCUCUUCUCUUUCUUUUAAUAUAAAUACGAUCAGAUUUUGGCUAACUGGAGUCGAGCUAGCAAACAGCCCAUGUAAAACACAAUCAAAUACUAGACAAAAUCAAUAAAUAGUAAUACCGUCAGUACUUUGAUUUUAUAGGUUCAAGUCCUUAAAACAGUUCUAUCUGAGUAAUAGACUCCUGCAUUUAGCAAAGUUUACAGCUUGUAGUAAAAUUUUAAUGCUGCUUUGAAUGGUAAGAAUUCAAACAGAUCAUAUUUGCUUCCCAAAGUGGCAGACUAAGACCAACUGAAAAUCAGUAAUCACCAUCCAUGUGAAGUCGAUAACCUUGCGAUUUAUAUACAUUUCUCUAAAGAUUCUUGGUGGAACUGGAAGACAAGCGGCCAAUAACUGAAAGAAUGUACACAGGUCCAAGACCAUGCUCCUACCUGCCAUCUCAUAUCCUGUUCAUGUGAAAGCACACUACCACAUGUCCUAGAGCUCAGAUUCAAAGUUAGGAACAAAAAGUUUGGGACUGGUGGACUUUAACUUCUUAAUUGGUCUUAUGGGUAUUUAUUUGUUUUAAUAAGCAAAAGAGGGAAUGUCCUAGGCAAUUUGGGUGAUGUCUCCAUUAUUGUUAGAUGUUAAUUGACCUUUUUAUGCUCAGUUUCUGGUGAAUUGUAUGUCUCUCAGCUGGUAAUUGAAGACUGGAAACCUAUGCAUCACAUUACUUGGGUUUGCAUCAUCACCAAGCCAUUUUGGGGAAUCAUAAAUGACCGAACCUUUGGCAUGGGCAACUAUAAAUAAACGUGAUCAUAGAUUUUCAUUGCUUGAAGAUAUUGUAACGAAGUGCACAUAAUGGUCAAAGAAUCUGUUAUGGUUGCCUUUGUGAGGUUACAAAUUUGUCGUGUUACAAGAAGUAAUGAAAAUUUCAGACAAGUUACUGCUGGUAUGUACAAAGGCAACAACUAUUCGGCAAAUUACUGAAUUUAACAAGUUCCAUGGAGAUGCUCUGGAGAGAUUUCUUCAAUUUUGUUGUUGUUGAAGGUACCUAGUGUUAAGGGACCCUAGAUCCAAGAGUUAGCAAGCUGUUAACAUCUGGUUGGCGUUAGCUAACCAACUACGAAAGUGAAUGUAAACAGAUCCAGAUUUCAGACAAUUGCAAUUAUUUUCAGCUGCCACAACUGGUAAAAUGAUUCUCACCAUGGUCUGCCUCCUCCAACUGACUGAGGAUAUGAAUUCAGGAAAAGUAUCUGUCACCUGAAGUGCAGGAUGAGGGAAAGGCUAUGAUUCCUCUCAAAUCAGAUAGCUAUUUAAAAAUUUAAAGUUUUGUGCAGAAGUAAAAACAACAGUAAAGAAAGAAAAGAGACAUAGCAACAGAUAAAAUAAAAAUAAAAUUAUAAUUUCUUGUUA